rnacentral:rRNA from 1 species
GAUGAACGCUGGCGGCGUGCCUAAUACAUGCAAGUCGAGCGAACUGAUUAGAAGCUUGCUUCUAAGACGUUAGCGGCGGACGGGUGAGUAACACGUGGGCAACCUGCCUGUAAGACUGGGAUAACUUCGGGAAACCGAAGCUAAUACCGGAUAGGAUCUUCUCCUUCAUGGGAGAUGAUUGAAAGAUGGUUUCGGCUAUCACUUACAGAUGGGCCCGCGGUGCAUUAGCUAGUUGGUGAGGUAACGGCUCACCAAGGCAACGAUGCAUAGCCGACCUGAGAGGGUGAUCGGCCACACUGGGACUGAGACACGGCCCAGACUCCUACGGGAGGCAGCAGUAGGGAAUCUUCCGCAAUGGACGAAAGUCUGACGGAGCAACGCCGCGUGAGUGAUGAAGGCUUUCGGGUCGUAAAACUCUGUUGUUAGGGAAGAACAAGUACAAGAGUAACUGCUUGUACCUUGACGGUACCUAACCAGAAAGCCACGGCUAACUACGUGCCAGCAGCCGCCGUAAGAC